CUGUGGCUCUUGUGAUGAUGCCUUUUCCAGUGUCGUUCCCUAGAACUUGCUUCCAGGUAGAAGGAGUGGUGAAUGAACCUGAACUUGGGAACCUGAUCUUGCCAGCCGCUCUGCUGGGACAGCACCGAGUGAGACCUUGACUUUUAAGUUUCUCCAGAGGGAAAGCUUGGACUUCGGGUGUGCUGUUGCCCUCUCCCGUGUGUUGGUGCACCAGAAGUUACUGGUCCCAGGACAUUCUCCUCCUUACCCCGCAUCGUGAUUGUCCUGGCUCAGGACUGAUAUCUUCCCUACCAGAGGCUGCUUUCAGCUGACUCUCCUGGAAGACAGUCUCGGCGAGGCUGUUCCCUUACAGGUGUUGAAGCCUGAUGACGCAUUGCAGCGGCUUGCCUGUCCCACGGCUGUGUGGACCUCCUGCAGUGCACGAUGCCCUGACCCAGCAGAAUGUGGCCUUACAGGCGCCUUGCGGAGGCGGUUGGGAGGUAGUUGAGGUGUUGAGCGUGGGGAUCCGCUUACGCCUUAUGGUGUAGCUUCCUGUCUCUCCCCAUAUAUCAGUCCAGUGAACCCUUAGGAAAAAUGCCAAGUUCCCUGAGUCUCUUAGUUUGAAUCCCUGGUUUCUCACUGCCCCCUUUUCUUUUGUUUGUUAAUAAAUUGUUACAUAAACAAAUGCUUUCCUCUUUCCCUUUUUGUUUCCAAGAAUCUCCUAGAGCCUGUUAGUGAACCCUUGGUGCCUGAGCCCUGGUUACCUGGUAUAUGUCUGGUAUUGGGCUGGGCAGUUAACAUGUUGCAUAAUUUAAUCUUGGCAUCAACCUUAGGACGUGGAUUCUCAGGUGUCUGUGUUGCAGCUUGUGGAAACAGAGACUCAGAGGGGUGCCGGGCUCUUGACAUGUAUUUUAUCAUUUGAUCCUCACAACAGAUCUAUGAUGUAGGUAAUACCUGAAUUUUCGGAUGAGGAGCCUGGGGCUGGGCAGUGGGUAGUUUCCUGGCUCACGUUGUACUGCUGAAGGGAAAGAGCCACGGUUCAGGCUGAGAUCUGUCUAGUCUCCAGGUCUCUGCUCUUAACCCGCUGUGCGUUGCAGCUCUUAUCCAAGAUCCCACAACUGCUGCUUGGUCACGUCUCCUCCAACGCUGGACACUGGGCGCUUCCCGAGACUUACUCUCGCAAGCGUGAGUAAUGGGCAGGAGCUUGACCUUGUGACCCAGGAUCAUACAUCCAUUUGGGGUGGCCCUCCUGUUGCCCUGCGCCUACCCAGGCACGCUGUGGGUGGUGGGUGUGCUUUACUCUGGAGCUGUGGGUUGGGAGUUCGGUGUCGAAUUCGCUUCCUGCAAUGACGCGUUGUGUCACUUGACUUAGUGACUUAGUUUGAUCUGUUAGCACCCCCAGAACCUUUUGGCCUCGCUCAGUCACACUAACUAUUGGUUAGAGCAAAGCAAAACACAAACCCAGUCCGGAACAACCCCCUCUAAAAAGGAAAAAAGAAAUGCAAGCCUGAGAUUCUACUAGGUAGCCUUCUGGAAAUGUCUUCAGCAUCCAUUGCCAUGCUUGGCAGUCUUUAGAAGCGUUCAGGAGCCAUUAUAGUUUUAUAAUAGCCACAACUUAUUAAGCUUUCCUUUGGAGCCUAGUACUGUGCUAAGUUCUUCACAGACUUCUCAUUCUUAAGACAGCUUUGCAAGAGUUUCUGCACUUCAUAGGAGAGAAGAGAUGCACAGAGAAGAUCAGUACAUGCUCCAGUUUCACAGCUGGUUUAUGGUAGAGCUAAGUUUCAACCCAGAUCUGUUCAACUCCUCGGUGUCACACCACUGCCUUAGGCUUUAUAGCUUGUUAAAGAAAAGUAGGGCUUC